rnacentral:lncRNA from 1 species
GGCUAUUUCACUGGAGAUCCCUGUGUACCUGAAGACUUCUAAAGGGUUUUUCUGGCAUUUGAAGAGUUCUGUGAAUGCAGCUGUUGGAAACCAGUCUGAACCAUUAGUCUGUCUGUAAGCCAAUAGCUGACUAUAACAGUGCUGCACUGAGUGACCUUGGCAGUGACAACAGAUGUGUGCAGUGUUCCCCAGCAUUAUCUGCCUGCCAGGAUGCAAGGGCACUCAGAGCUGGACCUGCUGACCUCACUGCUACUUCUGCUUCUGUGUGGGGCUGUUGUAUAAGACAAAGGAAAUCUGCCCACAACUGUCAGCUCCUGCUCUUCCUCUACCUUGCUGGGGGCAGCAGGGCAGACCAACCUUCCUCCCUGCACUACUCCAGACCCCUCUUCAUUUGGAACAGAACUGAGCUCCAAAUUCCGCCUCUCCAUUUUACACAUCCAGUUUUUCUUGGGCUGUGGAUACAGGGUGUAUACGUGGCUG